rnacentral:misc_RNA from 1 species
GAAAAAUGCAGUGAUAAUGAUGGCAUUGUUCACAUUGCAGUAGACAAAAAUUCACGUGAGGGUUGUGUAUAUGUUAAAUGUCUGUCUCCAGAAUAUGCUGGAAAGGCUUUUAAAGCAUUGCAUGGCUCUUGGUUUGAUGGGAAAUUGGUUACAGUAAAAUAUUUACGACUAGAUAGAUACCACCAUCGCUUUCCCCAGGCUCUCACUUCCAACACUCCAUUGAAG